rnacentral:rRNA from 1 species
AUGGAGACCCCUCUCUGCUAUGGCCAGCCCCUAAACUGGGCACUGUCGCUCUUACUGUGGACGGUUCAUUCCAGGAGGCUGACGGCUCGGCUGCUGCUGGAAUGGUUCUUUGAGAGAGACAGCAAUGGCAGAAUCAUUUUUGCUGCUUACCGUGUCUUAUUCUACUGCAACGACGCCUUGGAAGCUGAACUCCAUGCGAUCAUGCAAGGAAUGGCCUUGACCAUCAAUCAUACAACCCUUCCUGUUGUCGUUCAGUCAGACUCUUCAAAAGCACUAGCCAGCCUAUCAAACAAUGCUUUGGUUCGCUCGGCUUAUGAUCAUUUAGUUCUAGAGAUUAAGGAUUUGAUAAGUAGUAGGGAGUUUUUACCCCAGAAAAUUCACCGUAGCCAGAAUAGAGUUGCCGAUCGGUUGGCCAAUUACAGUCGCUCCGAGAGAACCACUGAUGUGUGGUUAAACUCGGUUCCACCUUGUAUUGAGGAUUUGUGGCCUCUCAUCUAUAACACUAUUACUUUGCAAUAA